UGCAUCUGAAGCCUGACGAGGAUGAGAACCUCCGGGGGCAGGAGGUUCGACUCGAGCGCAGCGAGAGAACGUUGCGUCAGCAACGGCCCGCAGGGCGAGCCACGCAGUGGCGAGUCAUCCUCUAUCACCGACCA
rnacentral:sRNA from 23 species